rnacentral:rRNA from 1 species
CCUACGGGUGGCAGCAGUGAGGAAUAUUGGUCAAUGGGCUUACGCCUGAACCAGCCAAGUCGCGUGAGGGAAGACUGCCCUCUGGGUUGUAAACCUCUUUUGUCAGGGAGCAACGCCGGCUACGUGUAGCCGGACUGAGAGUACCUGAAGAAAACGCAUCGGCUAACUCCGUGCCAGCAGCCGCGGUAAUACGGAGGAUGCGAGCGUUAUCCGGAUUUAUUGGGUUUAAAGGGUGCGUAGGCGGAAUGCCAAGUCAGCGGUAAAAUCGCGGGGCUCAACCUCGCUCCGCCGUUGAAACUGGCGUGCUUGAGUGGGCGAGAGGUAAGCGGAAUGCGUGGUGUAGCGGUGAAAGGCAUAGAUAUUAGGCAGAACACCGAUGGCGAAGGCAGCAUACCGGCGCCCAACUGACGCUGAAGCACGAAAGCGUGGGGAUCGAACAGGAUUAGAUACCCCGGUAGUC